rnacentral:rRNA from 1 species
CUACGGGAUGCUGCAGUGGGGAAUAUUGGACAAUGGGGGAAACCCUGAUCCAGCAAUGCCGCGUGUGUGAAGAAGGCCUGCGGGUUGUAAAGCACUUUCGGUUGGGAGGACUGCUUCUAGCACUAAUAUUGUUGGAAGUUGACGUUACCUUCAGAAGAAGCACCGGCUACCUCCGUGCCAGCAGCCGCGGUAAUACGGAGGGGUGCAAGCGUUAAUCGGAAUUACUGGGAGUAAAGCGCGCGUAGGCGGCUAGAUCAGUCGGGUGUGAAAGCCCCGGGCUUAACCUGGGAACUGCAUCCGAUACUGUCUAGCUUGAGUACAGGAGAGGAGAGUGGAAUUCCACAUGUAGCGGUGAAAUGCGUAGAUAUGUGGAGGAACACCAAUGGCGAAGGCAGCUCUCUGGCCUGAUACUGACGCUGAGGUGCGAAAGCGUGGGGAGCAAACAGGAUUAGAUACCCUUGUAGUC